rnacentral:rRNA from 1 species
CCUACGGGAGGCUGCAGUGGGGAAUAUUGGACAAUGGGCGAAAGCCUGAUCCAGCCAUGCCGCGUGUGUGAAGAAGGCCUUCGGGUUGUAAAGCACUUUCAGUGGGGAAGAAAGCCUUGGGGCUAAUACCCUCGAGGAAGGACAUCACCCACAGAAGAAGCACCGGCUAACUCCGUGCCAGCAGCCGCGGUAAUACGGAGGGUGCGAGCGUUAAUCGGAAUUACUGGGCGUAAAGCGCGCGUAGGCGGUCUGAUAAGCCGGUUGUGAAAGCCCCGGGCUCAACCUGGGAACGGCAUCCGGAACUGUCAGGCUAGAGGGCAGGAGAGGAAGGUAGAAUUCCCGGUGUAGCGGUGAAAUGCGUAGAGAUCGGGAGGAAUACCAGUGGCGAAGGCGGCCUUCUGGACUGACACUGACGCUGAGGUGCGAAAGCGUGGGUAGCAAACAGGAUUAGAUACCCGUGUAGUC